AGGUCCUGCCUGCCCAGUGACUAUGUUAAACGGCCGCGGUAUUUUGACCGUGCAAAGGUAGCGCAAUCACUUGUCUUUUAAAUGAAGACCUGUAUGAAUGGUGGAACGAGGGCCUAACUGUCUCCCUUUUCAAGUCAAUGAAAUUGAUCUAUCCGUGCAGAAGCGGGUAUGCGAAUACAAGACGAGAAGACCCUUUGGAGCUUAAGAUUAAAAAUCAACUAUGUCAAAUAUCCACCGGAUAAAACUAAAUAGCAGCUGAUCAUAAUCUUCGGUUGGGGCGACCACGGAAUAAAGACAAACUUCCACAUGGACUGAGGACUAACCUUAAACCCAAGAAAGACAUUUCUAAGUCACAGAAUUUCUGACCACACAGAUCCGGCAAAUCGCCGAUCAAUGGACCAAGUUACCCUAGGGAUAACAGCGCAAUCCCCUUUUAGAGUUCCUAUCGACAAGGGGGUUUACGACCUCGAUGUUGGAUCAGGAC
rnacentral:rRNA from 1 species